CGUAUCCCAUAGUGCUGAGACAUGCUAAGUGACAGAUACCUCUGCAUCUGUCACUCCAUUCCAUUGCAGUGUUCAUGCAAAAUUCAACCCUACUGACCAAACUGUGGAUUCCAGCUUUCUGAUGGGAAGUCUGUCACAUCUUGGAAGUUUUUCAUUGAUGAUUAACAGUCUGGAGAUUAAGAGGAGCAAAUGGCUCUUAUGAAGACCCUGACCUGGAGUUACAUGCUGACUUCGGUUCUUUGCGGGAAUGGGACCCGUUCUUGGGGUUUCAGGAGUGGUCAUUGUUCGACAUGCCAAGGGUUCGGCCUGAGAGUCCGGUUCGGAUUUGGAAGCCUAAGAUCUCGGGUCUCUGGAGACGGGUGGAUUGAGGGUCGGUGUCAUGGCAGGAGACUUGUGUGUCGUUGGCUCAAGACCAGGAUGGGAAACUCCACGUCUGGAUAUUAUAUCUAACAGUCUGCGAUUCACUAAUUCUGAGGAAAUUGAGAAGACUUGCACAGACCCAUCAAAUGGUUACAAUUCAGAGAUUGGCUAGAACCUGUAUGUUACAGAGCUUGGAACUCUCAGAAUUCUCAUUGACUGCUUUGUUGUUGCCAAAAUUACAUUGGAGUCCUGUCUUUCCCACAGUAAUAUGCCAAAUUUUAAAGAUUAAUGUUCAAUAACUUUGUUUUGUUUGAAUCAUUAGAGGAAUAAUAUU